CACACACCUGGUGUGUACGUGGGAUCGAUCAAGAGCAGGAGGGGGCAAGACCAAACCCUAACUUCACAAAUCCUCCAAAAACAGAAGGGAAUUUAGAGUUUUAGUGAAUGCAUGAGCCCUAAUUCGAGUAAUCUAAGCUUGUCCAACCCUUGGCGUUAAGGAAGAAAGUUCAAGUCAAGGGAAGCCGCAAGGGAAUCAAGACCGAGGUAAAUCUCAUGUCUAGUUAUCAAGCUUGCCCGGAUCGAACACACCUCAAGCCCGUCAAGCGCUC